rnacentral:tRNA from 1 species
AAGGUUUUAAGUUAAUCCAAACUAAUAGCCUUCAAAGCUAUAAAUAAAAAUAAAUUUUUAAACCUUA